GCAAGUCUAAGUAUAAGUCAUAUACGGCGAAACUGCGAACGGCUCAUUAAAACAGUUAUAAUUUAUUUGAUAAUGCUUCUAUAUGGAUAACCAUUUUGGGAAACUAUGGCUAAUACAUGCUUAAAGACCUUCGGGUUGUAUUUAUUAGUUUUGACCAAUCUUAGAUUGUGAGGAGUCAUAAUAACUGAUCGAAGCGCACUUGUGUGCGCUAAAUCUUUCAAGUAUCUGCCCUAUCAGAUUGUUGGUAGUGUAUUGGACUACCAAGUCGAUCACGGGUAACGGAGAAUUAGGGUUCGAUUCCGGAGAGGGAGCCUGAGAAAACGGCUACCACAGCUACGGUAGGCAGCAGGUGCGUAAAUUACCCAAUCCAAAAUCUGGAAGGUAGUUACAGGAAAUUUGUUGCAUGGGGUUCUACCCCAGACACAAACGAACACAUGUAAGUAUUGUGUGUUUAAUUGGAGGGC
rnacentral:rRNA from 1 species